rnacentral:rRNA from 1 species
GCUCGCUUCAAAGGCUAAGCCAUGCAAGUGCAAGUACGAGCCGUCGAAGGAACGGCGAAACUGCGAACGGCUCAUUAAACCAGUCGAGUACGAGCGGUUGUGCGAGCGAGCAGCUCGGCACGUGGAUAUCUGUCGAAAAUCUAGAGCUAAUACAUGCAAAAAGUGCCGACUUCGGGAGGCGCGCAUUUAUCAGAGCAUGCGCCGGACAGAGCGCUUGCUGACUCUUGAUAACUGAGCGGGUCGCCGCGUUCUCGCGGCGACAUUCCGCACGAGCGUCUGACCUAUCAACUAUCGUCGGUACGGUCUCGGCCUACCGAGGUUCUUACGGGUGACGGGGAAUCAGGGUUCGAUUCCGGAGAGCAAGCCCGAGAAACGGCUGACACUUCCAAGGAAGGCAGCAGGCGCGCAAAUUACCCACUUCAAACCUCUGAGAGGUAGUGACGAGAAAUAACGGUGUCGGGCUCCUCGCGGAGCUCCGUCGACCGAAAUGAGUGCAGAGCAAGACUCUGACCAUCGUCGCACGCGCAACGGUCGGCGCGCUCCCUCGCGGGACGCGCGGGCCUCGCCGUCGGCGAACGAGAAUCGAUCGGAGGGCAAGUCUGGUGCCAGCAGCCGCGGUAAUUCCAGCUCUGAACGUGUAUGCUAAUGCUGUUGCGGUUAAAAAGCUCGUAGUCGGGAUUGUUCGGUCGACUGUGGCGCCGCUAGACCCCGGACCUCGUGUCCGGGUCGAAAGCGCCUCGGUCGCCAACACGACCGAAAAGGGCGGCCGGCUCGCAAGGGUCGGCCGGGUCCCUGCAACCGCCCUGUACCAAUGUGUGCUCAUCAGGGCAGAUCGAACGAACGAAGUGACGAUCGCGAAGCGACCUUCGCGGAACGAUGCAAGAAGGCCGCGGCUCGGCCGCCGGCGCUCCGAGAGACUCUGCUGUCGCGCGACAAUGAUCGACAGGGACGAACGGGGGCAUUCGUAUUGCGCCGGGAGAGGUGAAAUUCGUGGAUCGGCGCAAGACGAACCGAAGCGAAGGCGUCUGCCAAGGACGUUUUCGUUGAUCAAGAGCGACAGUCGGAGGAUCGAAGACGAUCAGAUACCGUUGUAGUUUCGACUACAAACGAUGUCGACCGCGAGGUCGCGACGUUGAGAGACUCUCGCUCGGAACGAGCGAGCAAAGCAAGUGGUGACCUCGCCCCCGGGGAAACCAGAGUGUUCUGGUUCCGGGGGAAGUAUGGUUGCAAAGCUGAAACUUGAAGGAAUUGACGGAAGGGCACCACCAGGAGUGGAGCCUGCGGCUUAAUUUGACUCAACGCGGGGAAACUCACCCGGUCCGGACGUGACGAGGAUUGACAGAUUGAAGAGCUCUUUCUCGAUCUUGCGAAUAGUGGUGCAUGGCCGUUCCUAGUUCGUGGAACGAUCUGUCUGGUUUAUUCCGAUAACGGACGAGACUCGAAUGCGGCAUGUUCGAAGGCCGACCCCUGGGGUCGGGCCGUGAAAAUCGAGCUUGAGAGACCGGCGGCAGCAGACAAAGCCGCACGAGAUCGAGCGAUAACAGGUCUGUGAUGCCCUUCGAUGUCCGGGGCCGCACGCGUGCUACACUGGCCGGUGCAGAACGAAACCGAAAAAGGGCGCUCGGACCGUCGGUGCUCGACUCUCCGGUCGUGGCUCCGAGGUCCGGCGCCCAGUGCCCGGCUCGACGGAGCCCAGGGCGACCGAACGAAGUCCGAUCGUGAUCGGGACAGAGAAUUGCAAUUGUUACUCUCGRACGAGGAAUUCCCAGUAGACGCGAGUCAUCACGUGGCGUCGACUGCGUCCCUGCCCUUUGUACACACCGCCCGUCGCUACUACCGAUCGAGCGUUCUAGCGAGGUCGCCGGAGCCUGGCCGGUCGCCGUCCUUCGCGGCGGAGACUGGCCCCGGGCGAAGGCGGUCGAACUCGAGCGCUUAGAGGAAGUAAAAGUCGUAACAAGGUUU